rnacentral:lncRNA from 1 species
GUUCUUCCCCUCAUGUAAACUCCAUGUCUGGCUGAAAGACUUCGUUAUAACAGAUUGUGACACCUCUCCCGACUUAAUUACUUCUGAGGUGGAGGAGGAAUGUAAAGCUGAUGGGGCUGAAUGCUGCUGGUGCUGCAGCUCUGUCUGUUCUUGGCCACAGGGAACUCUCCUUUGGGUCCCGUUCCAUUCAGCCUCCAUGGAGAAACAGUGUUCCCUAACGUCGUCCUUGGAGAUCAGGGUGCGGUUUGGUGAUACUGAGUCUUCAAAAGGACUGUCCUCAGAAAAAAAAACUGCCUAACAGUGGAAAUAAUGUUGAAGAACUGCCCCUAGCCCAAUUACGGUUUCAAUUAAACACUGCUAAAAACCACACCAGAAAGCACGCUGCACAAGGUGACUUUGUAGGAACAACUUCAUAGAGGUCCACGUUCCUUUUAAAAGCCUUCCAAGCAUCACGUUUUCUAAAACUAAUGCCAAUGCAGCCAAAGGCCCUGUAUUGGCCAACCAUCUUAAUGCUGAAGCAAAGCUGAAGGAAGUCACAGAAGAGGAUCCUGGCUUACAGGACGGGGCUGUUUGAGGUAAGGGACACACUGGGUGGCCUGCGGAGGUGGAGGAGGUCAUGUUAACAGCCACUGAGUUCAUGACAGCUGCGGAGGAUCCUUCAUG